rnacentral:rRNA from 1 species
GACGAACGCUGGCGGCGUGCUUAACACAUGCAAGUCGAACGGAGUGGCGAACGGGAGAGUAACACGAGGGUUACCUGCCCUGCACUUCGGGAUAAGCCUGGGAAACUGGGACUAACUCAGGAUAGUGUGGGUUGGGCCCGCGGCCUUUCCGCCUUUUGGUGGUGUAAUGGCCUAGCAAGGCGGCGACGGCGAGCCGGCCUGAGAGGGUGGACGGGCACAUUGGUACUAGGGCACGGCGCAGACGGCUACGGGAGGCAGCAGGGGGGAAUAUUGUACAAUGGGCGGAAGCGUGAGGCAGCGACGCCGCGUGGGGGAUGUCGUCCUGCGGGUUAUAAACACCUUUCUCCAUCGACGCGGUAGAUGAAGAAGAAGCACCGGCUAACUACGUGCCAGCAGCCGCGGUAAUUC